ensembl:lncRNA
GCAAUUCGCAGGAUGAAGUGGUGGCUUCUCUGCUGGCUGGUGUUUUUUCUGUCACACCAACCUUCUGCAUGUCCUCGUUCAACACCAGUCUGUAAGAAGAAACCACGUUCACAAGGUCAGGGUUUCUGCAAGGACAAGUAUACGAAAAGUGCAUGUCCUGAGCCAAAAAAAGACUGUAAGACAGAACAUGAUAAAGAUAACGGUUGUAGCAGUAAACAGGAAAAUGGGCGUGGCAAAUGCUGUAUGGACCUUUCAGACAACAUUUUGAAAAACGGAAGCUGUAAUGACGCUGUCAAGUAAACACUUUCCUUCUAAAUAGCAACAAACUUUUAAUUUUUUGGAGAUUUAUAUUUGGAAAAACUCUUAAAUCAAACAUGUAUAUAGGAGCAAAAUCAAAAGGGUUGAGAUGUUAAUGUAUUUAAGAUGGUUUAUGGCAAGUGUGUCAAACUCAAUCACACAAGGGGCCAAAACCCAAAGCACACUUUAGUUCACAGGCC